rnacentral:snoRNA from 1 species
AGCUAUAUGAUGAUCAACAAGGGACUUAAUACUGAUCACGUAUGAUGUCACCUUUUGUAUGUAUCUGAUGC